rnacentral:rRNA from 1 species
GAACGGGUGCGUAACGCGUAUGCAAUCUGCCUUUUACUAGGGUAUAGCCCAGAGAAAUUUGGAUUAAUCCCCUAUAACAUCAUUUAUUCGCAUGAUUAAAUGAUUAAAGCUUCGGCGGUAAAAGAUGAGCAUGCGUCCUAUUAGUUUGUAGGUGAGGUAACGGCUCACCUAGACUACGAUAGGUAGGGGCCCUGAGAGGGGGACCCCCCACACUGGUACUGAGACACGGACCAGACUCCUACGGGAGGCAGCAGUGAGGAAUAUUGGACAAUGGACGAAAGUCUGAUCCAGCUAUGCCGCGUGCAGGAUGACGGCCCUACGGGUUGUAAACUGCUUUUAUACAGGAAGAAACACCCCGACGUGUCGGGGCUUGACGGUACUGUAAGAAUAAGGAUCGGCUAACUCCGUGCCAGCAGCCGCGGUAAUACGGAGGAUUCGAGCGUUAUCCGGAAUCAUUGGGUUUAAAGGGUCCGCAGGCGGUUUUUUAAGUCAGAGGUGAAAUCCUGCAGCUCAACUGUAGAAUUGCCUUUGAUACUGAAAGACUUGAGUUAUUGUGAAGUGGUUAGAAUGUGUGGUGUAGCGGUGAAAUGCAUAGAUAUCACACAGAAUACCGAUUGCGAAGGCAGAUCACUAACAAUAUACUGACGCUCAGGGACGAAAGCGUGGGUAGCGAACAGGAUUAGAUACCCUGGUAGUCCAC